UACGUAGGGUGCAGGCGUUAAUCGGAAUUACUGGGCGUAAAGCGUGCGCAGGCGGUUUGCUAAGACAGGUGUGAAAUCCCCGGGCUUAACCUGGGAACUGCGCUUGUAACUGGCAAGCUAGAGUGUGGCAGAGGGGGGUGGAAUUCCACGUGUAGCAGUGAAAUGCGUAGAGAUGUGGAGGAACACCGAUGGCGAAGGCAGCCCCCUGGGCUAACACUGACGCUGAGGAGCGAAAGCGUGGGGAGCGAACAGG
rnacentral:rRNA from 1 species